rnacentral:rRNA from 1 species
UGUCACCAACGCGUUUUGGACACAUUGGCUGGGGAUCACAUCAAAACUCCACGGUUAAGUGUGCGCAGGUGGGAGUAGUACCAAGAUGGGUGACCUCUUAGGAAGCCUCCACUCGUAACAA